CCUAAUUAAAAUAAUUAUUAUUUAUUCAAAAUUGAAUUACGUUUCGUGUUUAUGGGUUUUUAAGAUAAAAUCAAAGCAGGAUACUUUAUCAGAAGUAUAAUAAACGAAUUUUACCCGGCCCAUUUAAAACAGACCUAACUAGGGCCCAAUAUCCCAUUUUAGCCUAACCCAAUUAACUUAAACAUUAAACAGAAAAAAACCCUAGGAGGCUGAUGGUUUCGGCGCCGCAACCACCCACGCUUAGCAAACCGUUCAUCGAGCCACGUCAUUGCUCGCACGUUCGGCAGUCUCCACAAGGCUCGUUCCCACGUUCUCCUCCACCUGCAAUAAGCCACGAACGGCACAAAUAAGACAGAGAAAAACAAAAAUAGGAGGGAUUUUUGUUGUAUAAAAGGCAAAUCGACUUAUGUUAAGGGGGUUAGCAAAUUUUGUACUAAAAAAAUUGAGAAAGAAAAUACCAGAGAAAAAAAAACAUUUUGAAGGUGACGGAUUUGGUUUCUUUUCCUUGCUUCUUUUUUACUGUUUUUACUUUAUUUUGUCUCUCUUUUGUUUCUUCAAAACAAAAAAAAACGAAAAGGGGAGUAAAAGGGACUUACCGUCGCGAGUGGCGUUGGGGGAUCUCUUCAUUCUGUCGUCGGAAUGAGAGAGAUGUAGAGUGGCAGUGAAGGAGGAAGGCUGUGGCGCCCUUGAGG
rnacentral:lncRNA from 1 species